UAGGGCUGAUCAUUUCCGGUUCGGUCCGGUUUUAAACCAAAAUAAACAACCAAACCGAAUUUUUUAAUUUUUAAUUUUUUGAACCGAACCGAACCGAAAACCGGUUCAAACCGACUAAUUUUGGUUCGGUUCGGUUCGGUUUUUUUCCCUUCCAAACCGGUUCAAACCGAAUGGUCCUCUCUGCUUCUUCUACAACCUUGACCGCAACAACGUCCAGCUGCACAUAGCGUUGAUUAUUCGAGGGAAAGUUCAUCCAUUUCAUUGUAAUUAAUCAAAUGGCAGGGGGUUGUAGAAAUCCACGGAUCUGAAAAACAAAAGAAAAGGAAUGGAUCUACUAUUCCAAAUCCAUUUAUGGCACAGACUCAACAAGAAAAUCAAAACCCAAAGGAACCAAAUCUAUAAGAGAGGGGAGGAAAAUCAAAGGCAGAGGGUAAAAUGAGAGAGAUGCAGAGAAGGGAGAGGGUGGGGUGGGGUGGGGUAAAGUGAGAUGCAAAGUGGGGUGGGGUAAAGUGAGAUGCAGAGAAGGGAGAUAUUUAAGCUACUCCAUAGGAGACUUACGAAGCAGACUUAUGGUGGGGAGACUCAAAAAGAUGCAUUUAGUUUCAUGGAAUCAAAUCGAACAGAGAAGGGAGAGGGUG
rnacentral:lncRNA from 1 species